rnacentral:misc_RNA from 1 species
GAGUUCAUGCCCUCACGGGUAGAUCUCCCACCCUUGAAUAUAUUACCUUUGUUGCUUUGGCGGGCACUCCCCAGCCGGGGCCGGAGGACCCUAAACUCUGAUUUAUAGUGUCGUCUGAGAACUAUACAAUAGUUAAAACUUUCAACAACGGAUCUCUUGGUUCU